UACGUAGGUGGCAAGCGUUGUCCGGAUUUACUGGGUGUAAAGGGCGUGCAGCCGGAGAGACAAGUCAGAUGUGAAAUCCACGGGCUCAACUCGUGAACUGCAUUUGAAACUGUUUCCCUUGAGUGUCGGAGAGGUAAUCGGAAUUCCUUGUGUAGCGGUGAAAUGCGUAGAUAUAAGGAAGAACACCAGUGGCGAAGGCGGAUUACUGGACGAUAACUGACGGUGAGGCGCGAGAGCGUGGGGAGCAAACAGG
rnacentral:rRNA from 1 species